AUUGAACGCUGGCGGCAGGCCUAACACAUGCAAGUCGAGCGAGCGGCGGACGGGUGCGUAAUGUCUGGGAAACUGCCUGAUGGAGGGGGAUAACUACUGGAAACGGUAGCUAAUAACGCAUACCAUCCGAUUUGCCCAGAUGGGAUUAGCUAGUAGGUGGGGUAACGGCUCACCUAGGCGACGCUCACUACCUGAUCUGAGAGGAUGACCAGCCACACUGUAACUGAGACACGGUCCAGACGCCUACGGGAGGCAGCAGUGGGGAAUAUUGCACAAUGGGCGCAAGCCUGAUGCAGCCAUGCCGCGUGUGUGAAUAAGGCCUUCGGGUUGUAAAGCACUUUCAGCGGGGAGGCGUUACCCGCAGAAGAAGCACCGGCUAACUCCGUGCCAGCAGCCGCGGUAAGAC
rnacentral:rRNA from 1 species